CAGGCUGGUCUCAAACUCCCGACCUCAGGUGAUCCGCCCACCUCAGCCUCCCAAAGUGCUGGAGUUAACAGGUGUGAGCCACCAUGCCCGGCCCUAACAGUUUUAUUACAUAGGAAGAAUUUGUUAAAUAUAUUUUCAAGGAAGAGAGCUCUGCUUUUCUAAGUGUUAUAUUUUCUUCUACUAGAUGGGUUUCCAAGAGCCAGGCUUUUCAAAAGGAUACUUCAGUAUAUCAUCUAACCUUCUUUUCUAAAAUUAAUUUUAUGUAGCUUUAAAUUUUUUUACUUUCUCCAGUAUUUAAUUCAAUUACACUUUGACUAAAUAAGGAAAAGAAGAGAAUUGCAUUACUCAGAACAGUGUUGCCUGGUAGAGCACCAGACUAGGAUUCAGAAGAAUGACUCAUAGUCCAGGAUCCCCAGCAAGUUGAUCCCAGCAGACUUUAUUUGCCCAUCAAAUGGGUUUAAUGAUAAUGCUCUUUUUGGGUUAUCAAGAAAAUUAAAUUGGAUAAGGGAUGUGAAAAUACUAGGAAACUCCAAAUCACUCUAUAUUUUAUUAUAUCCUUCUGUUUUUGUAAGCAAAAACACUUUUUAAAGUUUAUAUUUAUUUAGAAAGUUAAAAUCUUGUGUGAGCUAUAAAGCUCUAUGAUCUUGAACUGAAAUUAUUUUUGAAAGGUGAACACGUGAUGUGAAACAUUCAGCUGACCUGUUUUCCCUGCCAUUCUUGGCAGCAGUGGGAAUUCAUGCUAGGUCUGCCAAACAGUGAUUGAGGGCCAGUUUGAGGUCAGGUAUCAAAACUCUGACCAGCUUUUUAUUUUAGUGUUUCCUCCCCUAGAAAGAGAAACCUUUCUUCCUAGAACAUAUCAGAGGAAAGUACUUCCUAUUUGUUCUUCCAAGCUUUUUGCUUACAGCCCGGCUUUUCUUUAGCAAAGGAGAAUAAAAUAUAAAGCAGAAAACGUAAUUAUAUCUCUCUUCUUCUAAUCAGAAACAAGGUUCUAUCCCUUCCUCUUUUUACUUCAUCAGUUGCCUGUUGUACAUACUUUGCAUGCUCUGCAUUCUUUUUGUAGCCUACUGAAGGGGUCAGAGGUUUUCUCAACUAAAGCUGUUCUAGAAUUUUAAAAAUUAAUUGAAUUUUUCAGCAUAAAUUUAAAAUCAUAUUUUACACAGAUUAUAAAUUUAUUUCAAUUAUGUUUUAUGAAUCAAAUUGAACAUUCUUACUAAACUGAAUUUCCAAGUGUAUUUAUUUAUUUAGAGACAGGGUGUUAACCUGUCACCCAGGCUGGAGUGCAAUGGCAUGAUCAUAGCUCACUGUAACCACCCACUCCUGGGCUUAAGUGAGCCUCCUGCCUCAGCCUCCCAAGUAGCUAGGGCUACAGGUGUGCACAAUCAUACCUGGUUAGUUUUUUGUUUUUUGUUUUUUUGUAGAGAUGGGACCUUGCUAUGUUGCCCAGGCUGUUCUUGAACUCCCAGCCUCAAGCAGUCCUCCCAUCUUGGCCCAAAGCUCUGGGAUUAUAGGCAUGAACCUCUAUGCCCAACCCAUCCACAUGUAUUUUAAAUGAUGAUUUUUUUUUUUUUAAACUGAAAGAGUUUAUGAAACCAGCUCUCACUUAGGACACCUAAGAACCAAAGGCAAUGUGUGGACUUUGAUUGGGCCUGGUGUGAAAAAACAGCUGGAAAAGGCAUUACUGGGAUAACAGAACACUUAAAUAGGAUCUCAGUAUUAAAUAAUAUUAAAUAAUUAUUGGAAAUUGUUAGUUGUGAUAAUAGUACUGUUAAACCUAGGUGAUGAGUCUGAAUGAUGGAUUUGAAGCCCAACUCUUGCUUUCCAGCUUUGUGAGCUUGGGCAAAUUGUUUAGCUUUUGUGCUUUGGUAGCUGUUUAAUGACAUAGUAUAGCACUUGACAAAAGUAAGUGUUGAAUUUAUUUUUUAUUGUAACUAAUAUUGCAUGUUUAAUCCCCAGGAUUUCUGGUACUCUCUUUUUGGUACUUUCUUCUAUCUGUUCUUACUUACCUUGAUUAGUAUCUUGAACCAAGAACUUCCUGGGUCUCUAUUCCAAUACCUUUUUCUUAAGAAACGAUUCCCUCACCUUUCUUAUUGACAGAAUAAAGAAAGAGAGCUUUUCUUUGCUUUUCCUCUUCUCUCUUUCUCCUUCCUGGAUUUCUGGUUAAGAAGAAUAAAUUAGAAUAAGCAAAAAAAUUUUGAGGUAGGACAUAUAUUUUAAUGAUUAACUCAAUCAAGGUCUGUGCAGCUUUAUUCUAGAGACUGAUUCCUCUUCUCAAGUUGUGUAUAUUACAGUAAAGGUGAAUGGAUACCCACACACACACACACACACACGUAUUUGUAUAUGUGUGCAGAGGAUGUUUUCUUAAGAAGAAACUAGAUCAUAGAGUGCUUUAAAAUCAGUUAAUCAUUUAGCAUGCUUAUGAAUCUGAAGUUAGUGGGAUGUUUGCAUUGAAUAUUCUCAAGUUAAUGAGGUAUUCUAAAUUAAUUUUAACUUCUGAGUCUCCAGGAAAGCUUUCAGAAUUUAUACUUACUACCCAGGUGAGAAGUUGCAGUAGAGUAAAAGGGAAUCUUUCCCAAACUUGUGGAAUUUUAGAGUCAGAACGGGCCUUAGAAAUUCCAGUGCUUCAUUUGCCACAUGAGAAGGCUGAUAUCUGAACCAAACAGAUAACUUCAGAACCUCUGGAUACCAAACUUAUGAAGCUAAAACAGAAAUGUCAACUUGGGAUUAAAAGGAAAAUAAUAAUGCGUAGAAACGGUUUUGAAAAGAAGGUUUUAGAUAUUUUUGUGCUCCAUAUUUUCCUGCAUAUGUCUCCCUUUUCUCUGCCAAACUGCUUUUCACACCCGGUCCUUGGACUCUUUGAGCACUUCCCUGCCAUAUAAUUGACUUUCAGAAAUUGAAUGAAGCUGUAAAUGUCGAAGCAGGACUGGCCAUAAGAGUCUCUUAAUAUCUGGAUAGUCCAGUCACAAAGGUCUUUACUGUCAUUCAGCUGACUUUUGGCUUGCUAAAUAUAGCUGAAUAUCACAAAUUCUAAUUGUUAAAACCCUCCCUCACCUUAAUUUGAACUAGAAAACCAGACAAAAUUUGGUAAGAAUUUCAGCAAACUGUAGAAUUAUGAUCUAGAAUAUCUCAAAAUUUUAUCCCAUUUUACUUUGAAUAAUGUUAGAAAUAUACUAUGCUAGGCUGUCAGUUGGAUCCUUUUAGUACUACAUAAGUAAGUUAUAAAUUACCUAAAGUCCUCUCAGUACUUUCAGAGAAAGCUAACAUUACCAUAAUUUUGGAAAAAUUAGAGAUUGACCUAAAAGCAGGUCCUCUGCUCCUUUUGAAAUCUCUUCCUUGUUCAGCCUGCCUACCUCCACUUCUGCCUCCACCAUGUCCAUCAGGGUGACCCAGCAGCCCUACAGGAUGUUCACCUCUGGUCCCCCGGCCUUCAGCAGUUGCUCCUACAUGAGCAGGCCCAGGGCCUGCAUCAGCUCCUUGAUUGUCUCCCGAGUGGGCCGCAGCAGCAGCUUCCAGGGUGGCCUGGGCGCUGGCAUGACUCUGGCUGGAGGCUGUGGCGGGGCCAGGAGUAGGGGAAGCAUCAGUCGUCACAGUUAACCAGAACCUGCUGAGCCACCUUAAGUUGGAAGUGGACCCCAACAUUCAGGCCAUGUGCACCCAGAAGAAGGAGCAGAUUGAGACCCUCAACAACAACUUUGCCUCCUUCAUCGACAAGGUGCAGUUCAUGGAGCAGCAGAACAAGAUGCUGGGAACCAAGUGGAGCCUCCUGCAGCAGCAGAAGACGGCUCAGAGCAACAUGGACAACAUGUUUGAGAGUGACUUCAACAGCCUUCUGUGGCAGCUGGACACUCUGGGCCAGGAGAAGCUGAAGCUGGAGGCGGAGCUUGGCAACAUGCAGGAGAUGGUAGAGAACUUCAAGAACAAGUACAAAAAUGAGAUCAAUAACCGUGCAGAGCUGGAGAAUGAAUUUGUUCUCAUCAAGAAGGAUGUGGAUGAAGCUUAUGUGAACAAGGUAGAGCUGGAGUCUCACCUGGAAGAGCUGACUGAUGAGAUCAACUUCCUUAGGCAGCUUUGUGAAGAGGAGAUCCGGGAGCUGUAGUCCCAGAUCUUGGACACAUCGGUGGUGCUGUCCUUGGACAACAGCUGCUCCCUGGACAUGGUCAGCAUCAUUGCUGAGGUUAAGGCCCGGUAUGAGGAGACUGCCAACCGGAGCCAGGCCAAGGCUGAGAGCGUGUAACCAGAUCAAGUAUGAGAAGCUGCAGACGCUGGCCUGGAAUCAUGGGAUGACCUGCGUUGUAUAAAGACUGAGAUCUCCAAGAUGAACCGGAACAUCAGCUGGCUCCAGGCUGAGAUUGAGGGCCUUAAAGGCCAGAGGGCUUCCCUGGAGGCCACCAUCUCAGAUGCCAAGCCGCACUGGGAGCUGACCAUUAAGGAUGCCAAUGCCAAGCUUUCUGAGCUGGAGGCUGCCCUACAGCAGACCAAGAAGGACAUGGUGUGGCCUCUGCAUGAGUACCAGGAGCUGAUGAAUGUCAAGCUUGCCCUGGACAUCGAGAUUGCCACCUACAGGAAGCUGCUGGAGGGUGAGGAGAGCUGGCUGGAGUCUGGGAUGCAGAACAUGAGUAUCCAUAUGAAGACUACCAGUGGCUAUGCAGAUGAGCUGAGCUCGGCCUACAGGGACUUAACAAGCCCUGGCCUCACCUAUGGCCUGGGCUCCAGCUUUGGUUCUGGCAGGGGCUGGAGCCAGCUCCUUCAGCUGUACCAGCUCCUUCAGGGCUGUGGCUGUGAAGAAGAUCAAGACCCAUGAUGGGAAGCUGGUGUUCAAAUCCUCUGAUGUCCUGCCCAAGUGAAGGGCCACAGCAGCCCCACCCAGUCUACCCACCCUGGGGCUGCCCCAGAGCCUGUUGGAGAGGCUGCUGUGCACGGCUGCACAGGGAACAGGAGACCCACCUGUUUUAGUCCCUUUUCACACUGCUUAUAAAGACAUACCCAA